ACAUUUUUUUCAUUAAAUUUGUUAAGUUCUAAAUUUUCAAUUAAUUUAGAAGAUGUUAUAGCUUGUUCAU
rnacentral:sRNA from 1 species